CAGUAGCCGCGGUAAUACGAAGGGGGCUAGCGUUGUUCGGAAUCACUGGGCGUAAAGGGUGCGUAGGCGGGAUCUUAAGUCAGGGGUGAAAUCCCGAGGCUCAACCUCGGAACUGCCUUUGAUACUGGGGUCCUUGAGUCCGGAAGAGGUGAGUGGAACUGCGAGUGUAGAGGUGAAAUUCGUAGAUAUUCGCAAGAACACCGGUGGCGAAGGCGGCUCACUGGUCCGGAACUGACGCUGAGGCACGACAGCGUGGGGAGCAAACAGGAUUAGAUACCCCCGUAGUCCCUGUCUCUUAUAC
rnacentral:rRNA from 1 species